CUGCCCCGAGCCCGACUCGCCCUUCCGCCGCAGCCCGCCCCGCGGCCCCGCCUCCCCCCAGCGCUGACCUCAGAACCCCGGACCCCUGGGCUCCUGAGACAGGCGGAAGGACGGAAGGACGGACAGGUCUGGGUGCUGGCUAGAUGGACGGCGUCAUCUACGCGGAGGAGACAGUCGGGGGGCCGGGGGGCCCUGAAAAUGAGACUGAGCUCCCCAGUGCCUCCACUUUAUGGGUCUGGACUUCUGCAUUCUGCUCCUUCUCUGGAUGCCGCCCUCAGGAAGACUUCCAGGAUUGACUGUGCCCAGUCUCAGCACCCUCCUCUCAGGAGCCCUUACAGUGGCAAGGGCCUGGGAACUUGCUGUACUCUGAGUUGCUUUCCAUACACUGCAUUUGACUUUGCUUAUACAGGACCUGUUACGGUGUCUGUUAGCCAAGAGUGUGGCACACAUGGCCGGCUUUCUUUUUAAAGAUGGACUCCUCAUUCUUAAACAAGUCACAGUGUAGCUCGAGUCCCCAUCAUGAGAAGUCACAGUGUGGCUGGAGUCCCCAUCA